rnacentral:rRNA from 1 species
UACGUAGGGCGCAAGCGUUGUCCGGAAUUAUUGGGCGUAAAGAGCUCGUAGGCGGCUUGUCACGUCGGGUGUGAAAGCCCGGGGCUUAACCCCGGGUCUGCAUUCGAUACGGGCUAGCUAGAGUGCGGUAGGGGAGAUCGGAAUUCCUGGUGUAGCGGUGAAAUGCGCAGAUAUCAGGAGGAACACCGGUGGCGAAGGCGGAUCUCUGGGCCAUUACUGACGCUGAGGAGCGAAAGCGUGGGGAGCGAACAGG